GAACGCCCGUAGCAAUACGGGAGUGGCAGACGGGAGAGUAACACGUGGGAACGUGCCCUUCAGUUCGGAACAACCCAGGGAAACUUGGGCUAAUACCGGAUACGUCCGCAAGGAGAAAGAUUCAUCGCCGAAAGAUCGGCCCGCGUCGGAUUAGCUAGUUGGUAGGGUAAUGGCCUACCAAGGCGACGAUCCGUAGCUGGUUUGAGAGAACGACCAGCCACACUGGGACUGAGACACGGCCCAGACUCCUACGGGAGGCAGCAGUGGGGAAUUUUGGACAAUGGGCGAAAGCCUGAUCCAGCCAUGCCGCGUGAGUGAAGAAGGCCUUCGGGUUGUAAAGCUCUUUCGGCGGGGACGAAAUGGCGCGGGGUAACAUCCCGCGUCGAUGACGGUACCCGAAGAAGAAGGACCGGCUAACUACGUG
rnacentral:rRNA from 1 species